GACGAACGCUGGCGGCGUGCUUAACACAUGCCAGUCGAACGAUGACGACCGAGCUUGCUCGGUCUGAUUAGUGGCGAACGGGUGAGUAACACGUGAGCAACCUGCCCUUCACUCUGGGAUAACCUCGGGAAAUCGGGGCUAAUACCGGAUAUGAGCUCCUGUCGCAUGGCGGGUGUUGGAAAGUUUUUCGGUGAAGGAUGAGCUCGCGGCCUAUCAGUUUGUUGGUGAGGUAGUGGCUCACCAAGGCGAUGACGGGUAGCCGGCCUGAGAGGGCGACCGGCCACACUGGGACUGAGACACGGCCCAGACUCCUACGGGAGGCAGCAGUGGGGAAUAUUGCACAAUGGGCGAAAGCCUGAUGCAGCGACGCCGCGUGAGGGAUGACGGCCUUCGGGUUGUAAACCUCUUUCAGCAGGGAAGAAGCGAAAGUGACGGUACCUGCAGAAGAAGCGCCGGCUAACUACGUG
rnacentral:rRNA from 1 species